AUGCUUGCUUCAGCAGCACAUAAAUUAAAAUUGUAACGAUACAGAGAAGAUUAGCAUGGCCCCUGCGCAAGGAAGACACGCAAAUUCAUGAAGCAAUCCAUAUUUUU
rnacentral:snRNA from 1 species